ACAUGUAAAAACACUGAGUCACCAUCUUGUCCGAUGACUGAACUGCUCCCUAUACUCGGGUUGUCGGUAAAUGAUCAUUCGAGAUCGUAAUAUUAAUUGCCUCUGCAACAAGAAACAUAGGUGCUAAUAGCUCUGCCAGCAUGAAGCCCAUGGAUCCCACUGGUCGUUGGAGCAUUGUCUUCUGUCCGAUGGCGAUAGAACAAUCACCGCACCG
rnacentral:lncRNA from 1 species